rnacentral:rRNA from 1 species
GAGUUUGAUCCUGGCUCAGGAUGAACGCUAGCGGCAGGCCUAACACAUGCAAGUCGAGGGGUAACAUGAGUGCUUGCACUUGAUGACGACCGGCGCACGGGUGCGUAACGCGUAUACAAUCUACCUUUUGCUGUGGGAUAGCCUUUGGAAACGAAGAUUAAUACCGCAUAGUAUGCAGACUUCUCAUGAAGAUUGCAUUAAAGGUUACGGCAGAAGAUGAGUAUGCGUCCUAUUAGCUUGUUGGUGUGGUAACGGCACACCAAGGCAACGAUAGGUAGGGGCCCUGAGAGGGGGAUCCCCCACACUGGUACUGAGACACGGACCAGACUCUUACGGGAGGCAGCAGUGAGGAAUAUUGGACAAUGGAGGAGACUCUGAUCCAGCCAUGCCGCGUGCAGGAAGAAUGCCCUAUGGGUAGUAAACUGCUUUUAUACGGGAAGAAAAAGGGCUACGUGUAGCCCACUGACGGUACCGUAAGAAUAAGGACCGGCUAACUCCGUGCCAGCAGCCGCGGUAUAAGGGCGA